GUCAGGAUGGCCGAGUGGUCUAAGGCGUCGGGCACACAUCCCGAUCCCACUGGGCGUGGGGCGUGGGUUCAAAUCCCACUCCUGACA